rnacentral:sRNA from 1 species
UUAUCGCGCCCGCUGUGCAUUCGGUGCAA